CUAGCCGUUGCCAUCUGCGUGAGCAGGGCUGCGUGUCAAGUCUAUGGACUCGACUCUUGCACAUCUACGUCUUAGGUUUGCGCCAAUUCGUGGUAAGCUUGGGUCAUAGAGACUCAUAGGUGUUAUAAAGACUCGCUGGUGUUUGUCUCCUUGAGGCAUACGGCUUUAACCAAAACUCUCAAAGUUUGACCUCAAAUCAGGUAGGAGUACCCGCUGAACUUAAGCAUAUCAAUAAGCGGAGGAAAAGAAACCAACCGGGAUUGCCUUAGUAACGGCGAGUGAAGCGGCAAAAGCUCAAAUUUGAAAUCUGGCGUCUUCGACGUCCGAGUUGUAAUUUGAAGAAGGCGACUUUGUAGCUGGUCCUUGUCUAUGUUCCUUGGAACAGGACGUCAUAGAGGGUGAGAAUCCCGUGUGGCGAGGAUCCCAGUUAUUUGUAAAGUGCUUUCGACGAGUCGAGUUGUUUGGGAAUGCAGCUCUAAGUGGGUGGUAAAUUCCAUCUAAAGCUAAAUAUUGGCGAGAGACCGAUAGCGAACAAGUACAGUGAUGGAAAGAUGAAAAGAACUUUGAAAAGAGAGUGAAAAAGUACGUGAAAUUGUUGAAAGGGAAGGGCAUUUGAUCAGACAUGGCGUUUGCUUCGGCUUUCGCUGGGCCAGCAUCAGUUUUAGCGGUUGGAUAAAUCCUCGGGAAUGUGGCUCUGCUUCGGUAGAGUGUUAUAGCCCGUGGGAAUACAGCCAGCUGGGACUGAGGAUUGCGACUUUUGUCAAGGAUGCUGGCGUAAUGGUUAAAUGCCGCCCGUCUUGAAACACGGACCAAGGAGUCUAACGUCUAUGCGAGUGUUUGGGUGUAAAACCCGUACGCGUAAUGAAAGUGAACGUAGGUGAGGGCCCGCAAGGGUGCAUCAUCGACCGAUCCUGAUGUCUUCG
rnacentral:rRNA from 1 species